rnacentral:rRNA from 1 species
UACGUAGGGGCUAGCGUUAUCCGGAAUUACUGGGCGUAAAGGGUGCGUAGGUGGUUUCUUAAGUCAGAGGUGAAAGGCUACGGCUCAACCGUAGUAAGCCUUUGAAACUGGGAAACUUGAGUGCAGGAGAGGAGAGUGGAAUUCCUAGUGUAGCGGUGAAAUGCGUAGAUAUUAGGAGGAACACCAGUUGCGAAGGCGGCUCUCUGGACUGUAACUGACACUGAGGCACGAAAGCGUGGGGAGCAAACAGGAUUAGAUACCCCCGUAGUCCCUGAGCGGG